rnacentral:rRNA from 1 species
GAUUUCUGGUACAAUGCACCUGGCCCGCGGCCUAUUAGGCUUGUGAGUGCCGGCGCGCGUUUACCAUCCUUCUAGAAAACAGGCCUGCCCUUUACUGGGUUGGGUUUGCGAUCUAGAUCUUUUACUUUGAAAAAAUUAGAGUGUUUAAAGCAGGCUUUUGCUAUGAAUACAUUAGCAUGGAAUAAUAAUCUAGGACUUCGGUUCUAUUUUGUUGGUUUCUAUAACUGAAGUAAUGAUUGAUAGGGAUAGUUGGGGGUGCUCGAAUUCAGCGGCCAGAGGUGAAAUUCUUGGAUUCGCUGAAGACGAACUCAUGCGAAAGCAUU